GUCUUUUUAGAAUUUCUAUAGAUUCUCAUCAUUAUAAAUAGAAUCAGAAGGGAUAGGUUGAAUUUUACCUUCUAAGAGUAAAGUUACAAAGCUUGAGUGCAUGCAAAUGUGUCCUCAGACACAUUCAACUUUUAUUUUUAAUCCUUUUCCUUAAAAAGAUAGCUUAUUUUGUAGGCAAUUCAUGCAGUUAAUCCUUCUCAGAAUGCAGGAUUUUGCACCUAAUUUUCAAAAUUUUCUUGGGGGGGGCAUGCCCCCAAACCCCCCUAGCGAGGCGCACACGGCUUACGCCGUGUGCCCGCCGUCGUAAAGACCAAUCAUAUUUUUCCCAAACCAUAAUUUUUUUCCCAAUUGCAUGGGCCCCAGGACCCUUCCCCUAAACACCAGGAAAAUCACUGUAA
rnacentral:lncRNA from 1 species